CGGGUGAGUAACACGUGGGUGAUCUGCCCCGCACUUCGGGAUAAGCCCGGGAAACUGGGUCUAAUACCGGAUAGGACCACACUUUAGUGUGUGUGGUGGAAAGAUUUAUCGGUGUGGGAUGAGCCCGCGGCCUAUCAGCUUGUUGGUGGGGUAAUGGCCCACCAAGGCGUCGACGGGUAGCCGGCCUGAGAGGGUGGACGGCCACAUUGGGACUGAGAUACGGCCCAGACUCCUACGGGAGGCAGCAGUGGGGAAUAUUGCACAAUGGGCGCAAGCCUGAUGCAGCGACGCCGCGUGGGGGAUGACGGCCUUCGGGUUGUAAACCUCUUUCGCCAGGGACGAAGCGCAAGUGACGGUACCUGGAUAAGAAGCACCGGCUAACUACGUGCCAGCAGCCGCGGUAAUACGUAGGGUGCGAGCGUUGUCCGGAAUUACUGGGCGUAAAGAGCUCGUAGGUGGUUUGUCACGUCGUCUGUGAAAUUCCGGGGCUCAACCCCGGGCGUGCAGGCGAUACGGGCAUAACUUGAGUGCUGUAGGGGAGACCGGAAUUCCUGGUGUAGCGGUGAAAUGCGCAGAUAUCAGGAGGAACACCGAUGGCGAAGGCAGGUCUCUGGGCAGUAACUGACGCUGAGGAGCGAAAGCAUGGGUAGCGAACAGGAUUAGAUACCCUGGUAGUCCAUGCCGUAAACG
rnacentral:rRNA from 1 species